UCUGGUUGAUCCUGCCAGUAGUGAUACGCUACCUUCAAAGAUUAAGCCAUGCAUGUCUCAGUACAGCCUCGACAAAGUGAAACCGCAAACAGCUCAUUAAAUCAGUUAUAACUUCCUUGCUCUCGAGUUCCUAAAUGGAUAACUGUGGUAAAUCUAGAGCUAAUACAUGCAACCUGGCGAGCUUUCGGGCUAGUCGCAUUUUAUUAGACCCAGAUCAUAGGGCGUUUUCGGACGUCUACACAUCAGAGGUGAAUCUAGAUAAUAUUCAGCUAUCAUUUAAGUCCUCUUCGGAGCGACGGUGAAGUGUAAUUCAGGCUUCUGCCUUAUCAACUUUUGUUGGUAGGCGACGGGACUACCAAGGUGGUCACGAGUAACGGGGAAUAUGGGUUUUAUUCCGGAGAAGGAGCCUGAGAAACGGCUACUACAUCUAAGGGUGGCAGCAGGCGCGCAAUUUGCCCAAUUUUAGAUGUAGGAGGCAGUGACGAGACAUAAACAUUGAAGAGCGUGGCUUCUGUCGCGUUUCUUCAAAUACAUUGUGAUUGAGCACAAUUUAAAUGCUUUGGCGAUAAUCUAUUGGAGGGCAAGUCUGGUGCCAGCAGCCGCGGUAAUUCCAGCUCCAAUAGCGUAUAUUAAUAUUGUUGCGGUUAAAAAGCUCAUAGUUUAAACUUGAAUUGCACUUGCUUUGCGCUCCAGACAUUAGUUUGGUUUUAUAUGUGCGGGUAAUGGUGCGAUUCAUAACCGGCGUUUGCUAAGUGCAUUGUGAUGUGCUUGUGCAGCGCCAACGAUUACUUUGACUAAAUCAGAGUGAUCAAGACAGGCUCGUUUUCAACGGCCUUGAGUGCUCUAGCAUGGAAUAAUAGAAAAGGACUCGUUUGGGUCCGGUGAAGUGUUUUCUUCACAGAACUAUGGUCUUCGGCACCUCGAGUAAUGAUUAAAAGGGAUUGACGGGGGCAGUCGUAUUGCUGGGCUAGCGGUGAAAUGCAAUGACCCUGGUAAGACGUCCUAAAGCGAAAGCAUCUGCCUAGGAUGUUUUCAUUAAUCAAGAGCGAAAGUUAGAGGUGCGAAGGCGAUUAGAUACCGCCCUAGUUCUAACCAUAAACGAUGCCAACCAGCAAUCAGUCUGAGAAUUCAAGUUUUUAAAUUACUUAUGUAAUCUUGAAUUAGACUGGUUCUCCCGGAGAAAUCAGAGUGAUUAGGCUCCGGGGGAAGUAUGGUUGCAAGGCUGAAACUUAAAGGAAUUGACGGAGGGGCACCACAAGGAGUGGAGCUUGCGGCUUAAUUUGACUCAACACGGGAAAACUCACCCGGCCCGGACACUGGAAGGAUUGACAGAUUGAGAGCUCUUUCUUGAUUCAG
rnacentral:rRNA from 1 species